UACGUAGGGUGCGAGCGUUAAUCGGAAUUACUGGGCGUAAAGUGUGCGCAGGCGGCGGAGCAAGUCGAGUGUGAAAGCCCCGGGCUUAACUUGGGAACUGCGCUCGAAACUACUUUGCUGGAGUGUGGCAGAGGAAGGUGGAAUUCCAGGUGUAGCGGUGAAAUGCGUAGAGAUGUGGAGGAACACCGAUGGCGAAGGCAGCCUCCUGGGCCGACACUGACGCUGAGGGCACGAAAGCGUGGGGAGCAAACAGG
rnacentral:rRNA from 1 species